CUAUGCGCCUUGCCAGCCCGCUCAGGUGUGCCAGCAGCCGCGGUAAUACGUAGGUGGCAAGCGUUAUCCGGAUUUAUUGGGCGUAAAGGGAACGCAGGCGGUCUUUUAAGUCUGAUGUGAAAGCCUUCGGCUUAACCGGAGUAGUGCAUUGGAAACUGGGAGACUUGAGUGCAGAAGAGGAGAGUGGAACUCCAUGUGUAGCGGUGAAAUGCGUAGAUAUAUGGAAGAACACCAGUGGCGAAAGCGGCUCUCUGGUCUGUAACUGACGCUGAGGUUCGAAAGCGUGGUAGCAAACAGG
rnacentral:rRNA from 1 species